rnacentral:rRNA from 1 species
AUGGCGUUUGCUGGCGUAUCUCUCAUUGCUGACGGCAAGCUGUGCGCCUCCACCAAGUCGACCAUCAACUCCGGUGCAGAUAGUGGGUACCACUUGAUCGUUGUCGAAGGUUACUUGCGCACCAAAGAGACAACUCCCAACGGCGAAUGGAUCAAGUCUCGUCCUUUCAUUGUUGGAGGCCGUCGCUGGACCAUCGACUACCACCCUAAUGGUUUUGACGAGGAUUAUGAAGAAUUUAUAUCGGUUUUCCUUGUCCUUGAAGACGAUACCGGGCCGAGCGUUAGGGUUCAGUGUGCCUUCAGUUUCAUUGACCAGCCCGAGUUACGGGUGCCAAAGCACAUCCGCCAAAGCGAACCUUUUUACUUGGAUGGUUCUUUUGAUGGCCAGUUUGAUUUCAUGAAAAAGGAGGUUUUUGAAAGAUCAAGGCAUCUCAAGGACGACAGCUUCGUCAUCCGGUGUGACCUUGUUGUCCGCAAGUCGGCCGUGAACAAGGAGGAGGAGGGGACCGCCGUUCUUCCAUUCACCGAAUUGCCACAGGCCGACUUACCAAGCCAUCUUGGCGAUCUCCUCCUGAGCAAGGAGGGUGCUGACGUCACGUUUGAGGUUGACGGCAAGGAGUUCGCUGCGCACCGGUGGAUGCUUGCAGCCCGAUCUACCGUCUUCAAGGCACAGCUCUUUGGCACCAUGAAUGUGGACAAUGCUACGUCCAGUGUUGUCAAGAUAGACGACAUCAAAGCAAACGUAUUCCUGGACUUGCUUACUUUCAUCUACACCGAUGGAAUGCCUGAAUUCAAGCGUGACAAUGGCGAUGAGACUGAUGACACCGAAGAGGAUGACAUGAAAAAAGACUGGCUGCUACAGCUCCUUGAAGCUGCAGAAAGAUAUGGUCUCCAAAGCCUCAAGUCAGUCUGUGAAGAGAAGUUGACCGAAUUGAUUUGCAAGGACACGGUGGCAGACAUCAUUGUCGUGGCUGAGCGGAACCGGUGCCUCUGGUUGAAGCAUUCCUGCUUGGAGUUCGUCAAAACUAGCACAAAUUUGCACACGGUUUUCACGGCUGAUGGGCUGGAGCAAAUAAUCAGGACCUGCAGCCCCUCCGUUCUCAAGGAGCUUCUCUCCAAGUUUGCUUCCUGA